rnacentral:lncRNA from 1 species
UUACUGGUGGCUACUCUGACUUUUCAGGCUCAAGAAAGCCACACAUCUUAAUCUGACCAUUAUAUCAAUGUGUAGCCACUCGGCUACACGUAAGACUGAGAAGUCUUAUGGGGUCUUUUUUGCUCAAAGCCUUCUUAAAAUCCAUCUUUUAUUUUUGAGAGUUUAAAAACAGUCAUUUUUUCCAAUUCUGAAUUUCUGGUUAUUAUUUUCUUUCACUCCUGUAAACCAAACAAUAGUUUCCUAAACUCAUCUCUUCCUUGACUACAUUUGGCAAGGUAAUGCAAUUACAAUGAACACACACUACUAACAACUUCUUUUCUUAAACCUUCAAUCUUGGUAGAAACAUGAAAUGGCCUCCAAGUUGCCAAAGGGGCGAAACACUAUUUUCAUUCCUGACCAAAUGUCAACAUAAAAGAUUAAGAUGAACAAAUCAAGAUCUAUUAUUUCUGGAGAAUGGGAUUACUGAUGGAAGAGGGGGUACUUAAAUGGAAAUAUAAUAAUUUAAUAUUUAAAUUUACUUUGAAAUGUUAGUCAUCCAAAACCUUGGAACAACUCUGAAGGUCCCUCAUAUGGAUUCCUUGCUUCCCAGCUCCCUUUACAACUGGAUGUGAAAGGUGCUGUCUUCUGUACUUUCUCUUGAGAGGCAGAAAGAAAUAAACAAUGGCUAAUUCUGACCUAU